rnacentral:rRNA from 1 species
ACUUAAGCAUAUCAAUAAGCGGAGGAAAAGAAACUAACAAGGAUUCCCCUAGUAACUGCGAGUGAAGCGGGAAAAGCUCAAAUUUAAAAUCUGGCGGUCUGUGGCCGUCCGAGUUGUAGUCUGGAGAAGCGUCUUCCGCGUCGGACCGUGUACAAGUUUCCUGGAACGGAGCGUCAUAGAGGGUGAGAAUCCCGUCUUUGACACGGACAGCCGAUGCUUUGUGAUGCGCUCUCGAAGAGUCGAGUUGUUUGGGAAUGCAGCUCAAAAUGGGUGGUGAAUUCCAUCUAAAGCUAAAUAUUGGCGAGAGACCGAUAGCGAACAAGUACCGUGAGGGAAAGAUGAAAAGCACUUUGGAAAGAGAGUUAAACAGUACGUGAAAUUGUUGAAAGGGAAACGCUCGAAGUCAGUCGCGUCCGCCGGGACUCAGCCUCGCAAUCCGUUGCUUGGUGUACUUUCUGGUGGACGGGCCAGCAUCAAUUUUGGUUGCCGGACAAAGGUCGGAGAAAUGUGGCACCUUCGGGUGUGUUAUAGUCUCCGGUCACACGCGGCGGUCGGGAUUGAGGAACUCAGCACGCCUUUACGGUCGGGGCUUUGCCCACGUUCGUGCUUAGGAUGCUGGCGUAAUGGCUUUGAACGACCCGUCUUGAAACACGGACCAAGGAGUCUAACAUGCCCGCGAGUGUUCGGGUGGAAAACCCGUGCGCGUAAUGAAAGUGAAAGUUGGGACCUCUGUCGUGGAGGGCACCGACGCCCGGACCAGAACUUCUGUGACGGAUCUGCGGUAGAGCGUGCAUGUUGGGACCCGAAAGAUGGUGAACUAUGCCUGAAUAGGGUGAAGCCAGAGGAAACUCUGGUGGAGGCUCGUAGCGAUUCUGACGUGCAAAUCGAUCGUCAAAUUUGGGUAUAGGGGCGAAAGACUAUCGAACCAUCUACUACCUGAUUCCUGCCGAGUUUCCCCGGGGAAA